rnacentral:rRNA from 1 species
UACGUAGGGGGCUAGCGUUGUCCGGAAUCAUUGGGCGUAAAGCGCGUGUAGGCGGCCCGGUAAGUCCGCUGUGAAAGUCGGGGGCUCAACCCUCGGAUGCCGGUGGAUACUGUCGGGCUUGAGUACGGAAGAGGCGAGUUGGAAUUCCUGGUGUAGCGGUGAAAUGCGCAGAUAUCAGGAGGAACACCGAUUGCGAAGGCAGCUCGCUGGGACGUUACUGACGCUGAGGAGCGAAAGCGUGGGGAGCGAACAGG